CUCCGUCCUCCCGUUCCCAUCUGUGUGUGUCUCUCUUUAUUUCUCAUCCUCACCCCUGAACUCCAGGUUCCGCACGUCGCUGGCAGGUGGUGGCCCGUACGGGGGGUCUCUCUUUCUACGAGGGCCUUUAGUAGUGCUUGGAGAACCGGGACUCGGUGAAGGACGUCCGUUAACAAGGAUGCUGGAUGCAGGAGCCAUCACUGGAAAAUCGAAUGAAGAGGAUGAGACUCCAGUGUGUGACACCUCCGAGGCACAAAACCCUGCCCUCAACAGAACAAGCCCCCCUACCCGCGUGGGGCCAGAUCAAGAAAUUGGCUGAAAAAGCUCAGACACUGGUCAGUGAGACUGGACAACUGCUCACCUGCCACCACCGCCCGGGGUGCUUCCAUGUGAAAAGGAGCCCGUUGCUCCCGUUUUGCAUGUACCCUGGAGACGGUGUCGUGACCAAACUGCGGCACAAAUCUCUAUUCCUGGCAUCAAUCAGAACCUGUAUGUCUCUCUGGAUUUACUGCAACUCCAUCAGGAGAUUACAGGCAUGUUAGAUAUGCCUUCCCUUGAUACUAGUAUAGCUACGGAGGCUAGGGAUUUUGUUAAUCAACUCCUGGGCCAUGUCCCCUCUCUUACUGAUUUUAAAAGUUUGUUCUUUAUGGUUGUUGGAGUCUUUGCUCUCCUUCUACUUAUUUUGUGUGUUACCCCUGUUUUGCUUCGGCCAAUAACAAAAAAAAAAUAUUUUAGCCAUGAAGGCUGCUCUGUAUUCGACCAACCUACAGAUGAAAGCCUAUCAGCGGGCCCCUGUUUAAGGAAUAAAAAAUGGGGAGGUGUGGGGAGCUGUCCUGAAGACAGGAAUCUCGGGGCGUGGGUGCUGCCCAGAAAACUGGGGUCCUCAGUGACUCAGCACUUGCCCGCAGGUGGAGCUCUCCCAUCUUGGAUUCAACCGGUGUUCUUUGCUUUAGGCUUGGGUAAGCAACACAGUUAAUCAGUAGAUAAAAUUAGCCUCACUUGUUCCAGAGACUUUGCCCUGGAGCUAACAAUAGAAGAAAGUAGAUGAUGGACAUUGAUUACUUGUAAGCGUGACUAAAUAAAGGUCCUGUGAUGUUG